GCCAGCAUGGUGUAGUGGUUUGAGCAUUCCACUAUGACUCUGAAGACCAGGGUUCAAAUCCCUGCUCGAGCA